rnacentral:lncRNA from 1 species
UUUUUUUUCUUUCUUUUUCAGAUAUUUUUGUUGUUAGUAUACAGAAGCACAACUGGUUUCUGUAUAUUGAUUUUGUCUCUAGGGACCUUACUGGAUUCACUCAUCAGUUCCAACAGUUUUUUGGCUUGUCCUUAGGAUUUUCUACAUAUAAAAACAUAUCAUAAUUUUUUAAAUUUAUUCAUGAGAGACACAGGCAGAGGGGGAAGCAGGCUCCCCACAGGGAGCCCAACACAGGCCUCAAUCCCUGGACCCAGGGACCCACCCUGAGAUGAGGGUAGACACGCAACCACUGAGCCACCCAGGCGUCCCUCAUAAUUUUAUCAUCAAUUUUAUUUCUUCUUUUCUCAUUCAAUGCAAUCCCUAUCAAAACCCCAAUGGUAGUUUUCGCAGAAAAGAAAAAACAAUUCUAAAAUUUGUAUGGAACCACAAAAGAUCCCAAAUAGCCAAAGCAAUCCUGAAAAAGGAAAAGCCAGAAACAUCACACUCCUGAAACUCAAACUAUACUAUAAACCUAUAGUAAUUAAAAGAGUCUGGUGGACAAACAGACCAAUGGAAAAGAAUAAACAGCCCAGAAAUAAACCCAUGCGUAUAAAUGGUCAAUUUGUUCACAACAAAGAAGCCAACAAUAUACAAUGGAGAAAGAAGUCUUUUCAAUAAAUGGAGUCGGGACAGCCACAUGCAAAAAGAAUGAAACUGAAUCCUUAUCUUACACCAUACACAAAAUUCAAUUCAAAAAGGAUUAAAGACUUAAAAUGUAAGGUCUGAAGCCAUAAAACUUCUAGAAGAAAACAGAGAGGUUAAAAGUUCUUUGGCAUUGGUCUUGGCAACAAUUUUUUGAAUAUGACACCAGAAUACAGGCACCAAAAAUAAAAAACGAUAAAUGAGACCACAUCGUACUAUAAAGCUUCUGCACUGCGUAAGAAACAACCAACAAAAUCAAAAGAUAAACUAUAGAAUGGGAGAAAAUAUUUACAAACCUAUAUUGGAUAAGGAGUUCAUAUUCAAAAUAUAUAAAGAACUCAUAUACCUCAGUAACAAGAAAACACAAUCACAGAUUUUUAAAAGGGUGGAAAAAACCAAAAAGACAUUUUUCCAAAGAAUGCAUCCAAAUGGCCAAGAGGUACAUGAAAAGAUAUCUGUCACUAGUUACUGGGAAAUGCAAAUCAAAGCCACCAGGAGAGAUCACCUUACACCCGUUAGAAUAGCUAUCACCAAGAAGAUACCAGAUAACAAGUGAUGGCAAGGAUGUGGGGAAAAGGGAGUCCUGUGCACUGUUGGUGGGGAUGUAAACUGGUCUGGCCGCUAUGGAAAACAGUACGGAGGUUCCUCAAAAGAAUUAAAAAUAGAACUACUAUAUAAUCCAGCAAUCCCACUUCUGGGUAUAUAUCCAAAGGAAAUGAAAACAGACUAUCAAAAGGUAUCUUCACUCCUAUGUUUACUGCAGUGUCAGUCACAACAGCCAAGAUUCGGAGACAAGUGUCUAUUAACAGAUGAAUGGAUAAAGAUAACGUAGCGGGAGAAAGAAAGUGUGACAUGAAGAGAUCUUGAGGGCCUUAUGCUAAGUGAGAUAAGUCAAACAGAGACAAAUACUGUGACAUAUUACUUAUAUGUUGAAUCUAAAAAAGUCAAACUCAACAGAAACAGAGAAUAGAGUGGUGAUUACCAGGGACCGAGGGGUGGGAGAAAUGGAGAGCGUUGGUCAAACUUACAGUUAGAAGAUGAGUAAGUUCUGGAGACCUAAUGCACAGCUUAGGGACUAUAGUCAACAAUACUGUAUUAUAUAUACUUCAGAGUUGCUAAGAGACUGAUCUUAAAUGUUCUACCCAAAAAAGAAAUGAUAAAUAUGUGACACAACAGAGGCUUUAGCUAAUGCUAUGGUGGUAAUCAUACUGCGAUAUAUCAAUGUAUCAAACUAACACUGUACAACUUAAGACUUACACAAUGUUAUAUAUCAAUUUUAGCUCAAACUAUAUAAAGUGCCUAACACAGAGAUUAAUUCAUAAUAAGUGUCUGUUAAUAUUAGUUCUUUCCUCUUUUAUUAAAUCUCUAAAUCAGUGGAGGACAGGAAAGGGGAGUGAUCUUUUCCAACACUCUCCACACACAUCCGAACGCCACCUUGAUAUAUCAGUUGGGCUAUGCUAUUUCCAUGGAGAUACUGGUAACUCUGCUGGUGGGUCUCAAUUACCGUGAAUGGUUUAAUUGAAAAGUUUUAGCUAACUUGCACACCA